AGCAGCCGCGGUAAUUCCAGCUCCAAUAGCGUAUAUUAAAGUUGUUGCAGUUAAAAGCUCGUAGUUGAAUUUCGGGGUCAGUAGGUUGGUCAUGCCACUGGUAUGUACUGGUCUCACUGAUUCCUCCUUCCUGAUGAGCCGUAAUGCCAUUAAUUUGGUGUUGCGGGGAAUUUGGACUGUUACUUUGAAAAAUUAGAGUGUUUAAAGCAAGCUAACGCUUGAAUACAUUAGCAUGGAAUAAUGAAAUAGGACGCUCGAUCCUAUUUUGUUGGUUUCUAGGAUCGACGUAAUGAUUAAUAGGGAUAGUUGGGGGCAUUAGUAUUCAAUUGUCAGAGGUGAAAUUCUUGGAUUUAUUGAAGACUAACUACUGCGAAAGCAUUUGCCAAGGAUGUUUUCAUUAAUCAAGAACGAAAGUUAGGGGAUCGAAGACGAUCAGAUACCGUCGUAGUCUUAACCAUAAACUAUGCCGACUAGGGAUCGGGCGAUGUUCUUUUCUGACUCGCUCGGCACCUUACGGGAAACCAAAGUGGUUU
rnacentral:rRNA from 1 species